GUUAUGAUGUCAUUUGGCAGCAACCUUCAGCUGAUAGCUGGACAUGGUUAACACAGCUGGCCAAUUUCAUCUCAGAACAACACAACUAUGUAAAAUGGAGUCUGGGCUUUUCAAAAUCCAAGAGCAAGGAGUUGUAUGGCUGGAUUUUAUAUGAGAUUUAUCGAAAACUGUUAAAACUUUCUAAAAGAAAGGAGAUGAAGCUUGUCAGCAUCUGACGAGAUGAUCUGA
rnacentral:lncRNA from 1 species